AGAUGACUUCUUUUGCAUCACUCCGAACGAUAAGGGGAGAUAACUCAUGGCUGCAGGCAAAAGUGCUAAUGGAUUUAGCACAGUGAGUGGCUUCACAGUGGAGAGCAUUUGCAUGCUGGAGUGAAAUGCAAUGUAUUAUGACUAAAAGAGCUUCAGUACCUGCCAGUGAAAGUUGAAGGCCUCCAGCAGCUGUAUCCUGGCUUCUCUGGAAGGCACACAGUCAGGAGGAAGAGACUGCACCAGCUCAGAUCCCACCGUCACAUCUCCAAACACCAACAGAGCUCUGAUGGCGAACCAGCCCCCGAACCUGGGAUGUACGCACACGCCAAACAUUUUCUGCAAGCGAACAGAUCGAAAGGUGAAGAGACGAGAAAUGUAUCUAAGCAUCAACCGAGGACAUUCCAUAAAAAGCAAAACAAAAAACCAAGAGCAGCAUUACUUUUCCAGCCCAUGGUUGGUCUGGGACAUCAGACUGCUGGUAGUAGAAAGCAGCUCCAGAUAUGUGAGCUGCAGUCUGCGCCAAGAACUUCGGUUUCCUGCUGGGCAGCAGCUCGUAGUCGAACCUCACAUCCACUUUCUGUUCUGGAAAACACUGCAGGGCGAGAAGAGGUGAGGAGAACAAAGAGAAUAUUUAGGUGUCACUGCUAGAUUUUAAAACUUCUCUGCCCCUACUCUACAUCAAAGCCUCUCAGAUCCUCAGAACAGUUGCUGUUACCUGUUGCACAAUUGAGGAUGGUGGGGAAAAGAGAUCGAGCCUUUGCUUUAGCAGCUACAGAAGUUUGGAAGACUUUUUCUCUCGCAAUAUAAAGUUUUCUUGUCUGUUGACAUUUUUAAUAAAAAUCUCAAGACCUG